rnacentral:rRNA from 1 species
CCUGACUGCUAUCGGAUUGAUACUAAGCCAUGCGAGUCAUUGUAGCAAUACAAGGCAGACGGCUCAGUAACGCGUAGUCAACCUACCCUAUGGACGGGAAUAACCUCGGGAAACUGAGUAUAAUGCCCGAUAGAACAUUAUGCCUGGAAUGGUUUAUGUUCCAAAUGAUUUAUCGCCGUAGGAUGGGACUGCGGCCUAUCAGUUUGUUGGUGAGGUAAUGGCCCACCAAGACUAUUACAGGUACGGGCUCUGAGAGGAGUGGCCCGGAGAUGGGUACUGAGACACGGACCCAGGCCCUAUGGGGCGCAGCAGGCGAGAAAACUUUGCAAUGUGCGAAAGCACGACAAGGUUAAUCCGAGUGGUUUCUGCUAAAGGAACCUUUUGACAGUCCUAGAAACACUGUUGAAUAAGGGGUGGGCAAGUUCUGGUGUCAGCCGCCGCGGUAAAACCAGCACCUCAAGUGGUCAGGAUGAUUAUUGGGCCUAAAGCAUCCGUAGCCGGCUCUGUAAGUUUUGGGUAAAUCAACCAGCUUAACUGGUUGAAUUCUGCAGAGACUGCCAGACUAGGGACCGGGAGAGGUGUGGGGUACUCUAGGGGUAGGGGUAAAAUCCUGUCAUCCUUAGAGGACCACCAGUUGCGAAGGCGCCACACUGGAACGGAUCCGACGGUCAGGGACGAAGCCUAGGGGCACGAACCGGAUUAGAUACCCGGGUAGUCCUAGGUGUAAACGCUGUGAACUUGGUGUCGGGAGUCCGCAAUGGGCCCCCGGUGCCGGAGUGAAGAUGUUAAGUUCACUGCCUGGGGAGUACGGUCGCAAGGCUGAAACUUAAAGGAAUUGGCGGGGGAGCACUGCAACGGGAGGAGCGUGCGGUUUAAUUGGAUUCAACGCCGGAAAACUCACCAGGGCCGACUGUUAGAUGAAGACCAGUGUAACGAACUUGUCGGAUUUUCAGAGAGGUGGUGCAUGGCCGUCGUCAGUUCGUACUGUAAAGCGUUCUGUUAAGUCAGAUAACGAACGAGACCCUCAUCUCUAUUUGCUACCUGUCUCUCCGGAGACAGCGCACUAUAGGGAGACCGCUGGUGUUAAACCAGAGGAAGGCGAGGGCAACGACAGGUCAGUAUGCCCCGAAUGUCCUGGGCUACACGCGCGCUACAAAGGACGGGACAAUGGGAAGCCAGGCCGAGAGGCCGAGCUAACCCGAAACCCGUUCGUAGUUCGGAUUGAGGGCUGUAACUCGCCCUCAUGAAGCUGGAUUCCGUAGUAAUCGUGUUUCAAAAUAGCACGGUGAAUAUGCCCCUGCUCCUU